GAUGAACGCUGGCGGCAUGCCUAACACAUGCAAGUCGGACGGGAAGUGGUGUUUCCCGUGGCGGUCGGGUGAGUAACGCGUAAGAACCUGCCAUUGGGAGGGGAACAACAGCUGGAAACGGUUGCUAAUAGCCCGCAGGCUGAGGAGCAAAAGGAGGAAUCAGCCCGAGGGGUGGCUCGGGUCUGAUUAGCUAGUUGGUGAGGCAAUAGCUUACCAAGGCGACGAUCAGGAGCUGGUCCGAGAGGAUGAUCAGCCACACUGGGACGGAGACACGGCGCAGGCACCUACGGGAGACAGGCGUAGGGAAUAUUCCGCAAUGGGCGGAAGGCUGACAGGGCAAUGGGACGUGAAAGUAGAAGGCCUAGGGAUCAAGAACUUCUUUUGCCAGAGAAGAAGUAAUGACGGUAUCUGGGGAAUAAGCAUCGGCUAACUCUGUG
rnacentral:rRNA from 1 species